rnacentral:lncRNA from 1 species
AGCCAGGUAAAACAUUAGAGAUAGAUGAUAAAAGGACUCAUUGCAUAUAAAAUUCUUUUAAGCACCUUUAAGGAGAAAUCAUGUUUAAAAGGGAGAUGAACAAAGGAGAAUAUUUUUAUCUUUCCAUUUGGGUCAUGUAGAGCUGUAACCAAACCAUAAGCUGGAAAUAUGGGGCCCGGAUCAAUGUACGGAAAAGCAAUAAUAAUGAAAAUAAUUCUUUACGUUUCUGGGGUUUCAGGCGUAUGGAAAGAGUUCUAAAAUUUUCACAAGUGCUCUUACAUAGACCAUCUCAUUUCGCCACGAUGAUCCAGGGGAGCCGGCAGAGCAGGUGUGGGUGUAGAGCACCAGCCCCCGUAUCCCGUGCUAAGGAUCUGAUCCUAAGCUGAACAGGCAUUUGCCCAUCCUCACGGCGCUUACUAUGCAGGGAGCGGAGUAAGUGAGAUAUAGAUGAAGUUUUAAAAACAUAUCAAAACUACAUGUGGGGGACAAAACACAGCAGACAUCCGGUACAGAUGGCUGCAGGGGCAACAGCUGCCAGGAGCCAAAGAGGACCUCAGCCCGAGCUACGGUGCCUGGCUGUGGAAGUGGUUCUUGGAGUGGGCGGGGUAGACCUGCCGCUGAGGGGCGGGGUCGUGGAGCCGGGAGCGAGCACGGUGGGGCGGGGCCAGACUGGCGGUGGGCGUGACCGUUGGUGAGGUGAGCUGGGUCAGCCUGCGGUGGAGGGGCGGGGUCCCAGAGCCGUGGGGCGGGGCAGCCCGUGGCCUGGAGCAGCGGUUGGCGACCUUUGGAGUGGCGGUUGCGCCGUUGGGCGGUUGGAUGGGGGUGCGGUCGGACGUAUAAAAGCUACGCCCAGCGCUUUUGGAAGCAGUAAGUCCAGCCCUAGGCUAAGGUGUUAAUCACUGAAAGGAGGUAGAACGUUUUUCCCCACCAGAGGAGGCAGCGACCACGUCUCCUCUAUGGAGGCAUUCAAGAGCCGUCCAGCUGAAGCAGCAUCAUUGUCUGGGCUUGGAAGGCACAAUCCAUACAGGUCUGCAUGGUCCACCAGAGCUCCACACCCACGGGGCCAGCCGGGGCUCUCUUCUGAAGCAGGGUCUCGCUCUGUUGCCGAGGCUGGAUCACAGCUCACUGCAACCUUGAACUCUACCUCAAGCAGUCCUCCCCACUCUGCCUUCCAAAGCACUAGCAUUACAGGCCUAAGCCACCACCCCCAUCCACUGAAGUGUAAACUAUCUCCUUCACGUUUCCAGUAGCUGCAGAGCAGAUCAGGGAUUGAGAGAAAGUAUGAUUUAUGGUGGCAGAGAUAAAUGAAACAUCCAAGGGCAGCCCCGCGUUGCCCCAACUCCUGAUUCUCUUCCAUCUGUUCGUAUGUGUUGUCAUCAAAGAAAUAAUAUUUUGAAGAGAACUUUGGAAUUGAGAAGAUGUCUUGCAACGUUGUCUAAGGAAAGUUACUUACUUCAAAGUCAUAACCUCCCCAAAGUCUUCUUCUGGAAGACUGUACUUUUAGCUUUCACAUUAAAGCUUGUGAUCUAACUUGCA